rnacentral:rRNA from 1 species
UACGAAGGGGGCUAGCGUUGUUCGGAAUUACUGGGCGUAAAGGGCGCGUAGGCGGCUUAGUACGUCAGGUGUGAAAGUCCCGAGCUUAACUUGGGGAUUGCAUUUGAUACGGCUAGGCUAGAGCACGAGAGGGGAUAGAGGAAUUGCAAGUGUAGAGGUGAAAUUCGUAGAUAUUUGCAAGAACACCAGUGGCGAAGGCGUCUAUCUGGCUCGUGACUGACGCUGAGGCGCGAAAGCGUGGGGAGCAAACAGG